rnacentral:lncRNA from 1 species
GGGGCCUUUGGAUGAAGACAUAGAAUUCUCAGCUCCUCCUGUGCCAUGCCUGCCUGGAUUCUGCCAUGCUCCCACCUUGAUGAUAAUGGACUGAACCUCUGAACCUGGUCCUGUUUGCAAUGGAAACUUGAGUGUUCUUGGGCAAGCCAGUUGUGUUUGUUACUUGUGUGCCGGGGCAAACAAGUAAAGGAGUGUUUUCCUGAAGUGGAUACAGGUGAAAGACUAAGGCAGACUCGUGAAGGAACACUGCUUUGAAGAAGACACAGGAGAAAGGAUGUUCUGCUAAAGCAAGCCCGUGAAAGGACAUGUGAUGAAGGAUUCUUUGUUAAUGACACACAUGUAUUGGUCUGCCUUACACUGUAAUUGAGCUCCAUUUACUUGUUGGGACUCCAUAACUUCUGGUGCAGUGCUGUAGUUUCUUGCCUCGUCUGUGGACUGGGGCUGUUUGGCAGAGUGAUGUCAGCUGAGACAGACUCAUGUGUUGAGGCAAGACAGGUGGAGGUCGUGUGAUGAUUGAUGGCUUGCUGGUACAGCUAGCUGUGCAAUGUUUGUGGGUCUCUUAUCUUCACUGAUCUUUGCUUUCCUGAGAAAGGCACAGCCAAGAACUUCUCCUGACACUCCUCUGCGUCCCUCCUGCUAACUUGAGCUGAGGCUGAGGCCUGGCUGUCUCUGCUAGGGCAUGUCACUGCUGUUGCUAACCUGACCCUACCAAAGUGGACUGCUGGUAUAUUCAUGAAGUAUUUGCAAGUGGAUGGAGCUGCCGCUGCCUGCUAACCUAUGAGCUGAACUGCUGAUUUCCAUACAACGCAGAUUGGAAUUGCUCCAAAGAACCUUUCUAAACAGGUCAUUCAGUAACUCCAAGAGUCGAUCUGCACUGAGUGGGGUCGGGCUAGGCCAACAAGAAGCCAACUAUCCUGUGAGGAGUGCGGUGGAACCUCAGGUGGCUCUUUGGGAGAGAAGAUCUCUUCCCACCUGUUACAGCUCUUGGAACAAAAGACUCAGAGAUGGAGUAGUACUUGCACACAGGGUUCGACAGCAGUAUUUUCUUUAUCCCUGUUUGCACGGAGCAGCCUGACUCCCUGCAUUUUCCGACCAGGAAUUCUUGCCAGGUCAGUAGGUGUGGGAAGGGCCAGGAUGGCAGACUGGAAGCUACUUGAAGCUGUAUACCCUUAACCGGGUUUGAAAAAAUGGGGAUGACCUUUCUGCGGGGACAGCACACACAUGGAGCAAGACAGCUGCCGGGCAGACACGUGAAGGAAUGUUCAGACACACACAUGCUCCAAAAGAGAUGUUCCUGGGAACAAUGAGAUGCUUGUUUCAACUGAAAUUAACUGAGAGAGGAAAGAGGGUGCCCAGCACCCGCUCCGGGUGUGUUGAAAGAAGCGCUGGUGUGGAGCUGGAGGGCAGGCAAACAGCCUGCUGUGUGAAGCCUUGCAUCCGUCAACAAAUUUAUUCAUUCCCUUUGGCCCAUGCUGUUCCAAGCACCUCACUUGAAGAAGUAGCUGGAGAUGUAAAUAAUUGUGAGCGCUAAAAAGAGGUUUAUAGUCUGUUGUCCUUCACUGUGUUUAAUACGUCAAAUGUCUGACGGUAGUGGCCAAGUGAAUGGCCACUUGCUGCUGCAGUUGUCAUCUGCAGCCAUUGCAACUUAAAAAUCGACAGAGCUUAUAAACUGCAAAUACUGAUAUAACCGUGUUUAGCAACAUAAACAUUUGUAUCAAUUAUGUGGAAAAAUGCAAAAAAAAGGGUUGAAGGUAAUGUGUCAAUAUGUAACAGUUGUGCGUGCUUGGGUUAUAGACAUUUUUCUUUAAAAAAAAACUUUUUCUUAGUAAUCGUUUUAAGUUUUCCAAAUAAAUUAAAAAUAUAUAAAUG